rnacentral:rRNA from 1 species
UGCCAGCCGCCGCGGUAAUACGGGGGAUGCAAGCGUUAUUCGGAAUUAUUGGGCGUAAAGGGCGCGCAGGCGGCCUUGUCAGUCAGAUGUGAAAGCCCGGGGCUCAACCCCGGCAGUGCAUUUGAAACAGCAAGGCUUGAGUAUGGUAGAGGAAAGCGGAAUUCCUGGUGUAGAGGUGAAAUUCGUAGAUAUCAGGAGGAACACCGGUGGCGAAGGCGGCUUUCUGGACCAAUACUGACGCUGAGGCGCGAAGGCGUGGGUAGCGAACGGGAUUAGAUA